rnacentral:rRNA from 1 species
GGAUUAGGCAUGCAAGUCGAACGAGAAAGGUUUCGCAAGAGACCGAGUAAAGUGGCGGAAGGGCGAGUAAUGCAUGGAUAACCUACCUCCGAGAUGGGAAUAACUACUCGAAAGGGUAGCUAAUACCCAAUAAGACCACGGGUCGCAUGGCCCGUGCUUAAAGAUGGGGACCCGCAAGGGCCUUUCGCUCGGUGAGGGGUUCAUGUCCUAUCAGCUAGUUGGUGAGGUAACGGCUCACCAAGGCGAUGACGGGUAGCCGACCUGAGAGGGUGACCGGCCGCACUGGGACUGAGACACUGCCCAGACUCCUACGGGAGGCUGCAGUCGAGGAUCUUCCGCAAUGCGCGAAAGCGUGACGGAGCGACGCCGCGUGGGUGAUGAAGGCCUUCGGGUUGUAAAGCCCUGUCACCUGGGAAGAAUGGCGGGAGGUGAAUAGCCAUCCUGUCUGACGCUACCAGGAGAGGAAGCACCGGCUAAAUACGUGCCAGCAGCCGCGGUAAUACGUAUGGUGCGAACGUUGUUCGGAAUCACUGGGCAUAAAGAGCACGUAGGCGGUUGAGCAAGUCCAUUGUGAAAUCCCCCGGCUUAACCGGGGAACUGCAGUGGAUACUACUUGACUUGAGUGCAGGAGGGGAGAGUGGAAUUCCAGGUGGAGCGGUGAAAUGCGUAGAUAUCUGGAGGAACGCCGGUGGCGAAAGCGACUCU